CCUACGGGUGGCAGCAGUGAGGAAUAUUGGUCAAUGGACGCAAGUCUGAACCAGCCAUGCCGCGUGCAGGAAGACGGCUCUAUGAGUUGUAAACUGCUUUUGUACGAGGGUAAACGCAGAUACGUGUAUCUGUCUGAAAGUAUCUUACGAAUAAGGAUCGGCUAACUCCGUGCCAGCAGCCGCGGUAAUACGGAGGAUCCAAGCGUUAUCCGGAUUUAUUGGGUUUAAAGGGAGCGUAGACGGGUGGAUAAGUUAGAGGUGAAAUCCCGCGGCUCAACUGUGGAAUUGCAUUUGAUACUGGUCGGCUUGAGAAUAGUUGAGGUAGGCGGAAUGCAUGGUGUAGCGGUGAAAUGCUUAGAGAUCAUACAGAACCCCGAUUGCGAAGGCAGCUUACCAAGCUACGACUGACGUUGAGGCACGAAAGCGUGGGGAGCAAACAGGAUUAGAUACCCGAGUAGUC
rnacentral:rRNA from 1 species